GACGAACGCUGGCGGCGUGCCUAAUACAUGCAAGUGGGACGCAAGGAAACACACUGUGCUUGCACACCGUGUUUUCUUGAGUCGCGAACGGGUGAGUAACGCGUAGGUAACCUGCCUAUUAGCGGGGGAUAACUAUUGGAAACGAUAGCUAAUACCGCAUAAUAUUAAUUAUUGCAUGAUAAUUGAUUGAAAGAUGCAAGCGCAUCACUAGUAGAUGGACCUGCGUUGUAUUAGCUAGUUGGUAAGGUAAGAGCUUACCAAGGCGACGAUACAUAGCCGACCUGAGAGGGUGAUCGGCCACACUGGGACUGAGACACGGCCCAGACUCCUACGGGAGGCAGCAGUAGGGAAUCUUCGGCAAUAGACGAAAGUCUGACCGAGCAACGCCGCGUGAGUGAAGAAGGUUGUCGGAUCGUAAAGCUCUGUUGUAAGUCAAGAACGUGUGUGAGAGUGGAAAGUUCACACAGUGACGGUAGCUUACCAGAAAGGGACGGCUAACUACGUG
rnacentral:rRNA from 1 species